AGAACGAACGCUGGCGGCAUGCCUAAUACAUGCAAGUCGAACGAACACUUCGGUGUUAGCGGCGCACGGGUGCGUAACGCGUGGGAAUCUGCCCUUGGGUUCGGAAUAACAGUUGGAAACGACUGCUAAUACCGGAUGAUAUCGAAAGAUCAAAGAUUUAUCGCCCAGGGAUGAGCCCGCGUAGGAUUAGCUAGUUGGUGAGGUAAAGGCUCACCAAGGCACGAUCCUUAGCUGGUCUGAGAGGAUGAUCAGCCACACUGGGACUGAGACACGGCCCAGACCUCCUACGGGAGGCAGCAGUAGGGAAUAUUGGACAAGUGGGCGACAAGGCCUGAUCCGAGCAAGUGCCGCGGUGGGUGAAGUGAACGGCCGUUUAAGGGGUUAGUAAAGGCUUACCGUUUUACCCGAGAUGGAAUUAA
rnacentral:rRNA from 1 species